rnacentral:rRNA from 1 species
GACGAACGCUGGCGGCGUGCUUAACACAUGCAAGUCGAACGGAAAGGCCCUGCUUUUGUGGGGUGCUCGAGUGGCGAACGGGUGAGUAACACGUGAGUAACCUGCCCUUGACUUUGGGAUAACUUCAGGAAACUGGGGCUAAUACCGGAUAGGAGCUCCUGCUGCAUGGUGGGGGUUGGAAAGUUUCGGCGGUUGGGGAUGGACUCGCGGCUUAUCAGCUUGUUGGUGGGGUAGUGGCUUACCAAGGCUUUGACGGGUAGCCGGCCUGAGAGGGUGACCGGCGCCAUCGUGGCUGGGAGCCGGCCCUGCUUCGUUGUGGUGGCACGGUUGGGUGCUAUUGUCCACCGGGCGGAGGCCUGCUGCGGCACGGCCGCGGGGGGGGGGAGGGCCUUUGGGUUGACACCCGCGUUCCCUUGGGGCGAGGCGUGUGGGAGGGGGAUGUGCGAAGUCGCACCGGGUUACUACGGACCGGCGGCCGGGGUAUUGUAGAGAAAGCACCCGUCAGACC